rnacentral:rRNA from 1 species
ACGGGUGAGUAAUGCAUCGGGAUCUACCCUGACGUGGGGGAUAACCUCGGGAAACCGGGACUAAUACCGCAUACGUCCUACGGGAGAAAGCGGGGGACCUUCGGGCCUCGCGCGGCAGGACGAACCGAUGUGCGAUUAGCUAGUUGGCGGGGUAAUGGCCCACCAAGGCGACGAUCGCUAGCUGGUCUGAGAGGAUGAUCAGCCACACUGGGACUGAGACGCGGCCCAGACUCCUACGGGAGGCAGCAGUGGGGAAUAUUGGACAAUGGGCGCAAGCCUGAUCCAGCAAUGCCGCGUGUGUGAAGAAGGCCUUCGGGUUGUAAAGCACUUUUAUCAGGAGCGAAAUACUACGGGUUAAUAACCCGUGGGGCUGACGGUACCUGAGGAAUAUGCACCGGCUAACUUCGUGCCAGCAGCCGCGGUAAUACGAAGGGUGCAAGCGUUAAUCGGAAUUACUGGGCGUAAAGGGUGCGUAGGCGGUUCGUUAAGUCUGUUGUGAAAUCCCCGGGCUCAACCUGGGAAUGGCAAUGGAUACUGGCGAGCUAGAGUGUGUCAGAGGAUGGUGGAAUUCCCGGUGUAGC